rnacentral:rRNA from 1 species
UACGUAGGUGGCAAGCGUUGUCCGGAAUUACUGGGCGUAAAGGGCGUGUAGGCGGCCUGAUAAGUCAGACGUGAAAGCCCGCGGCUUAACCGCGGGACUGCGUUUGAAACUGACAGGCUUGAGGAUCGGAGAGGGCAGUGGAAUUCCCAGUGUAGCGGUGAAAUGCGUAGAUAUUGGGAGGAACACCAGUGGCGAAGGCGACUGCCUGGACGACACCUGACGCUGAGGCGCGAAAGCUAGGGGAGCAACGGGG